rnacentral:rRNA from 1 species
UACGGGGGGGGCAAGCGUUGUUCGGAAUUACUGGGCGUAAAGCGUGCGUAGGCGGUUUGUUAAGUCUGUUGUGAAAGCCCCGGGCUCAACCUGGGAAUGGCAAUGGAUACUGGCAGGCUAGAGUGCGGUAGAGGGUAGUGGAAUUCCCGGUGUAGCGGUGAAAUGCGUAGAGAUCGGGAGGAACACCAGUGGCGAAGGCGGCUACCUGGACCAGCACUGACACUGAGGCACGAAAGCGUGGGGAGCAAACAGG